UAAUACAAGAAACACAAGUUAAAUUGUGUUCAGUUAAUUGAACAAUACGUUUUUAAAAAUUAAUUAUGUAACGUGUCUUAUAUUUCACAAUGGGUUGCCUCUUUAGCAUAUUAUAAAACGAUACAUAUACAUAUAAACGUGGACUUAAUUCAUGUCAGUAUUGUUAAUAUUAUUCAUAUUACAUAUCGCAUAUAGGAGGAACAGCACUUACCUCUCUCAACUUUGCGUGUCAAAGAUCGUCCGUCUGCUCGCUAAGGCUUUUUAUAUUGUCGCUUUGGACGUAGCAACAGGUGAGUUUCGGCUCUUCAUAGGAGAGAAAUGUUCAAUACUGACAGUGACUGGUAAACUAACAAACACAGACACAUGCGCACACAUGAAAGGUCCAAUGCGGUGAGAUGAAAAACACUCAGUUGGUGCGCAUUUUAUCUCCAUAGUGCACUUAGUUCACUUCAACUCUGUUUUGUACUUUUGUACAGGUGAUACACAUUUUUAUUCACUGAGGCUGUUUUGGGUCAAAUUGAUCUGAAUCUAUCAAUUUAUUUGAGAUCUCCCAGUGUCGAUGAAAACAAGAAAAUUAUGGUUUUAGGGAAUCUUCAAUAUGUUGAACUGUACAGGCGAUGCUUGUGUGUAAUUUUCCUGGGACAAAGGUGACAGAGGUCAAGGGGGACCUCCACACCGUGACAAGAACUGUCUGUGUUCACACAACAUUUCUCCAGCUUCCCGCAGAGACACCUGCGGUCUUUCAAGGGGCACGGGGGUCUCCAAAGAGUGACAUAGUAAAACAAGAUAGGAGUGAUCAUAUACGGUGCACAAAGGGAGGUGGGAAGAUAGAAAACAAGCCAUCGUCCUUGACACUCCAACGAUACUGCCAAAGGAGAACCGCCCGAUGGCCUUUUGUAAUCUUCAAACCACAGCAUCAACCUACAAUGCCUUUGUUGUAUGCAGCAAGCUGGAUCUUACAUGGGGGGCAAAAGGAACUGGAGGAAGUUUUUCUUGGAGGAGCUCAGAGAGGCUCUUGUGACUCUUUACAUGCCAAAGCGACAACACCUUCCCCACACAGGGAUUUUAUGUAUAAUGUAAAACAGCACAUGAUCAUGUGUUAAAAAAAACUCUCCCUGCUCUUAAACAUUUAUUAGGGGCUAAUUGUACAUUCAUUUAUGAGACAGGCUAUUUAGACAUUCUAACUGCAUUUCGUUGCCUCAGUACUUGUACCCUGUGCAAUGACAAUAAAGUUGAAUCUAAUCUAAAAAAAUAGACGUGUAGCUUAAAAUGUGGUACAGACAUGAGGUAAUUCUUGGACCGGGUAAAAAUGGACCUGAAACCUAUUGUGAAGGUUCCGGACUCUUCCUGGUGUGUUGCUCACACAGGCAGUGCAGCGUCUUGACUCAGCUGGAUUCCCAUCCCAGAAUCCCUUCCGGUGUCCUGCUGUCCAGGGUCUCUCUCCCCCAUCAUAUUGCCUCUCUGUCUUUCCUUUACCUUCUAUCCACUCUGUCUAAACAUUGGUGCCUCAAGCUUUCCUGUCAAAUCUACCGCUCUGUCUUUGCAUUUGGAAAUUCAUUCUUUGUGUCCCCCUCUAUCCCACUCUGAUCUGUGAUGAAACUUUGAAACAUUUCUGAAAAACCUUGAGGAACCUGAUUCUGCACCAAAACCUGGAACCCUGACUAAUAACCAAAUUGAUUUGGUUUUGCUAUGGUUACAAGUACCUGUCUGUUGAUGAAUACUCUGAGAGUCUCUCGCGCUCUCUGUCUCUCCUCUGAUCACUCACCUUGACUCGGGUUAUUGGUACCUGAUCUAUCUUUUUUGGACAAUCUGAGAGAUUCUCUUCUCUCACGCUCACCUCUUUCAAUCUCCUAUCUACAACACAUACACCUAUCUGUAGACAACUAUUACUGCUUUUACAAAUUGGAGAAAACAUUUGAUAUAUUUUUCUUUUGAGAUUAUAAACUGUAAAGAAACCGUACAACGUCCACAAUCUUUGGUUGUAAUUGACAACGGUUACACAUUUUAUACUUAAGAAUUUAAUCUGGUGAUUUUCAAAAUAUAUAAUUUCUUAUAAAAGGUGCAUAAUUCACAAGACGUGUACUCUUAAUACACAAAAAUACAUUGGAGUGAAAAUCCAUAUUAGAGAAGAGUUUUUAGUUGCUGUGGACUCCGUUGGUUUGUUUUGCUAGCUGACACCUUUACACUGUUAACUUGACUAGUCUACAUACAAAUAAAAAGAAUUUCACUAUUAUUAAUAAUUAUUUAGUGU
ensembl:lncRNA